rnacentral:tRNA from 1 species
AUUUGGCUGAAGUAUUGUAAGUAUAUCUUAGUUACAUUAAGAAGGUCUUUUAUUUAAAGCAGUCA